rnacentral:pre_miRNA from 3 species
CCUCUGUUAGGAAGGAUGUAGGGGAGAGGCUGCCUCAAGUCGUGCUUGUCUCACAUUGUGUCUAUAAACAUGCAAAACUUGUUUCCCCCAAGCAACAGAGGGA